rnacentral:rRNA from 1 species
UACAGAGGCCUCAAGCGUUGUUCGGAUUCAUUGGGCGUAAAGGGUGCGUAGGCGGCGCGGUAAGUCGGGUGUGAAAUCUCGGAGCUUAACUCCGAAACUGCAUUCGAUACUGCCGUGCUUGAGGACUGGAGAGGAGACUGGAAUUUACGGUGUAGCGGUGAAAUGCGUAGAUAUCAAGAGGAGCACCUGCGGCGAAGGCGGGUUGCUGGGCCGACACUGACGCUGAGGCGCGAAAGCCAGGGGAGCGAACGGG